rnacentral:lncRNA from 1 species
AUAAAAAAUCCACUAAUUUUGCGCUUUUGCAAAAGUGGGCCACCUUUUUAGUUUUUGCAUAUUCAGGCCGAAUUUUCAGAAGGAUGAUCAAACUACCCCUCUUUCAAAAUUCAUAAAAAUGAUAUACUUUAAAUGUCUAGAAAAAUACAACUGCUAAGUCAUUAUGUAUAAAACUUCUUGGAAAUGACAACUGCUAAGCCAUAAUUAUAUGCAUUUACCUUUCUUGUAAAACAAGAAACUUCAUUCAAGAGAAAAUAAAAAAAAUAAAGAUUAAUUAAUAAGAUGAAAGAGUGCAAUAUCCUUUUAAAUAGUGCAACAAUCUCUUNAUACUAAAUUAUGCGUAAUUUAGUGUAAAAAUUAUGCAAAAUGUGUAUUAACAAUGCAUAUGUUGCACUAUUUAUACAGAUAUUGCACUAUUUUGAGGAGUUUGUUGCACUAUUUGAGAGGAUGUUGCACUCUUUCAUCUUAUUAAUUAUUCUUUUUUUUAUUUUCUCUUGAAUGAGGUUUUUCGUUUCACGAGAAAGGUACAUAUAAUUAUGACUUAGUAGUUGUCAUUUCAAGAAGUUUUACACUUAGUGACUUAACAGUUGUAUUUUCUAGGCAUUCAAAGCAUAAAAUUUUUAUACAUUUUGACAGAAGGGUAGUUUGGUCAUCCUUCUAAAAAUUCGGUCCGAAUUUGCAAAAACUAAAAAGGUGGCCCACUUUUGCAAAAGCGCAAAAUUAGUGGAUUUUUUAUGCAAAUUGGCCAUUUUUUUUUAAUAAAACUUAUGUCUCAAUCUUUUUCUGAAUCCCUCGGCUAUUUUUCUUCCACUCUUGUAGUCUUAUUCCUCCUUGAGCACAUUAUCACACUACCUGCUUUAUUCAUAAAACAAAUGAAUUAAGCUAUAAAGAGUGAGGCAGCAAAGGCCUCAAAAAGUCGAAAAAACAAAAGAAGAAGAAACAAAAACAAAGAGAAAAGCUAAGAGGAAGCAGAUACAAGUGUCAAAAAUAGAGUAUAACAAACGCCAACAUCACCCAGCUCUACAAAAAUCGGCACACUCUUUCGUCGGCACUCCAAUGCGAUGAGCAAAUGAGAUAGCAUUGGUAGGUAGAUUCCUAAAAAUAAUAUUAUUUCUUUCACGCCGAAUCAUCCACCAUGUGGCUGCUACCAGUAUCUGAGCCUUCACAAUGUCAGUUUGCGAACCCCUCCCCAGCAGCUCCUCCCAGACAGUAUUGACGUCCUCAAUAAAGGGGAAGACGUAGAACUCGUCAAGGUGCUAAAUAAAAAGGAACUUACUGACGACACAUCCCACCAACAAGUAGUCCAUUGUCUCCAAAUCAGCACCACACAAAACACACCCAUUACUCCUUUUCCAUCCUCUUUUAAGAAGAUUAUUCACAGUAGCAGUCUCUUUUUU